AUUGAACGCUAGCGGGAUGCUUUACACAUGCAAGUCGAACGGCAGCGCGGACUUCGGUCUGGCGGCGAGUGGCGAACGGGUGAGUAAUGUAUCGGAACGUGCCCAGUAGCGGGGGAUAACUACGCGAAAGCGUAGCUAAUACCGCAUACGCCCUACGGGGGAAACCAGGGGUCCGUAAGACCUUGAACUUUUGGAGCGCCCGAUAUCGGAUUAGCUAGUUGGUGAGGUAACGGCUCACCAAGGCGACGAUCCGUAGCUGGUUUGAGAGGACGGCCAGCCACACUGGGACUGAGACACGGCCCAGACUCCUACGGGAGGCAGCAGUGGGGAAUUUUGGACAAUGGGGGCAACCCUGAUCCAGCCAUCCCGCGUGUGCGAUGAAGGCCUUCGGGUUGUAAAGCACUUUUGGCAGGAAAGAAACGUCGCGGGCUAAUACCCCGUGGAACUGACGGUACCUGCAGAAUAAGCACCGGCUAACUACGUG
rnacentral:rRNA from 1 species